CUUAGUGCUUCCUGUGGGUGUGCUUACUUCCUUAUUUAAUCUUUGUGACACUGCUAACGCAAUUCAGUAUUUCACUCUAGUGUCAAUUAAAAUAAACUUUGCCGUUACACAAUAAGACACACUAGCAAGUAUAUAUUUAGAAUAUAAACAUCUUAAUUGUUUGAACAGGCAAUUAUUUACCAUUUUACCUAACAUUUGAUAGAUCUGAUCUGUUACAAGUGUUACUACUUAAUUCAAUUUAACAUAUGUUACCCUUAACUUCAUGCUGUGAUAUUAAAGCUAUUUUAUAGCCUUUAUUUAUUGGUAAUUUGAGUGGGUGUGCUUUACUCAUUGUUGGCUUGAGCGGGGAGAGAUUGCUUUGCCUCAUUAUGUGUCAUGCCAUUAAAUUACUCAUUCUACAUAUCAUUGCCAAACAAUAUUAUUCUAUCGAAAUAUUAUUUAUAUCUAAACCUGUAAAAAAAAAUUUAAUACGAACAUUACGUGCAGACAGAUUGGAACCAGCAUUAAGGGUGUAUGUGGAGCAACAUAUUAAAGGCACACCAAUGCAUGAGAAUAAGAAGCAGGCUUGAUAAGCAUUAUGACACAACAGAGGGAUGUAUGCCAUCAUAUGCAAAAAUCUAUUUUUAAAGGUUCAAGUGGCCAUAUAGAUCCAAAUGAGUUGGGAAAUCGUAGAAUCGGAUGCAGAAGCAAUGAGAAAG